AGCGAACGCUGGCGGCAGGCCUAACACAUGCAAGUCGAACGAACCCUUCGGGGUUAGUGGCGGACGGGUGAGUAACACGUGGGAACGUGCCUUUAGGUUCGGAAUAACUCAGGGAAACUUGUGCUAAUACCGAAUGUGCCCUUCGGGGGAAAGAUUUAUCGCCUUUAGAGCGGCCCGCGUCUGAUUAGCUAGUUGGUGAGGUAAUGGCUCACCAAGGCUACGAUCAGUAGCUGGUCUGAGAGGAUGACCAGCCACAUUGGGGCUGAGACACGGCCCAAACUCCUAAGGGAGGCAGCAGUGGGGAAUCUUGCGCAAUGGGCGAAAGCCUGACGCAGCCAUGCCGCGUGGAUGAUGAAGGUCUUAGGAUUGUAAAAUCCUUUCACCGGUGAAGAUAAUGACUGUAGCCGGAGAAGAAGCCCCGGCUAACUUCGUGCCAGCCGCCGCGGUAAAAC
rnacentral:rRNA from 1 species